rnacentral:rRNA from 1 species
AGCUCCAAUAGCGUAUAUUAAAGUUGUUGCAGUUAAAAGCUCGUAGUUGAACCUUGGGUCUGGCUGGCCGGUCCGCCUCACCGCGAGUACUGGUCCGGCUGGACCUUUCCUUCUGGGGAACCUCAUGGCCUUCACUGGCUGUGGGGGGAACCAGGACUUUUACUGUGAAAAAAUUAGAGUGUUCAAAGCAGGCCUUUGCUCGAAUACAUUAGCAUGGAAUAAUAGAAUAGGACGUGCGGUUCUAUUUUGUUGGUUUCUAGGACCGCCGUAAUGAUUAAUAGGGAUAGUCGGGGGCGUCAGUAUUCAGCUGUCAGAGGUGAAAUUCUUGGAUUUGCUGAAGACUAACUACUGCGAAAGCAUUCGCCAAGGAUGUUUUCAUUAAUCAGGGAACGAAAGUUAGGGGAUCGAAGACGAUCAGAUACCGUCGUAGUCUUAACCAUAAACUAUGCCGACAAGGGGGAUCGGA